CCUGGUUGAUCCUGCCAGUAGUCAUAUGCUUGUCUCAAAGAUUAAGCCAUGCAUGUGUAAGUAUGAACGAAUUCAGACUGUGAAACUGCGAAUGGCUCAUUAAAUCAGUUAUCGUUUAUUUGAUAGUACCUUACUACUUGGAUAACCGUGGUAAUUCUAGAGCUAAUACAUGCUAAAAACCCCGACUUCGGAAGGGGUGUAUUUAUUAGAUAAAAAACCAAUGCCCUUCGGGGCUCCUUGGUGAUUCAUAAUAACUUAACGAAUCGCAUGGCCUUGCGCCGGCGAUGGUUCAUUCAAAUUUCUGCCCUAUCAACUUUCGAUGGUAGGAUAGUGGCCUACCAUGGUAUCAACGGGUAACGGGGAAUUAGGGUUCGACUCCGGAGAGGGAGCCUGAGAAACGGCUACCACAUCCAAGGAAGGCAGCAGGCGCGCAAAUUACCCAAUCCCGACACGGGGAGGUAGUGACAAUAAAUAACAAUAUAGGGCUCUUUCGGGUCUUAUAAUUGGAAUGAGUACAAUUUAAAUCCCUUAACGAGGAACAAUUGGAGGGCAAGUCUGGUGCCAGCAGCCGCGGUAAUUCCAGCUCCAAUAGCGUAUAUUAAAGUUGUUGCAGUUAAAAAGCUCGUAGUUGAACUUCAGGCCUGGUCGGGCGGUCUGCCUCACGGUAUGUACUGUCUGACUGGGUCUUACCUCUUGGUGAGCCGGCAUGCUCUUUACUGGGUGUGUCGGGGAACCAGGACUUUUACUUUGAGAAAAUUAGAGUGUUCAAAGCAGGCCUAUGCCCGAAUACAUUAGCAUGGAAUAAUAAAAUAGGACGUGCGGUUCUAUUUUGUUGGUUUCUAGAGUCGCCGUAAUGAUUAAUAGGGAUAGUUGGGGGCAUUAGUAUUCAGUUGCUAGAGGUGAAAUUCUUGGAUUUACUGAAGACUAACUUCUGCGAAAGCAUUUGCCAAGGAUGUUUUCAUUAAUCAAGAACGAAGGUUAGGGGAUCGAAAACGAUCAGAUACCGUUGUAGUCUUAACCAUAAACGAUGCCGACCAGGGAUCGGGAGACGUUACCUCGAUGACUCUCCCGGCACCUUGCGGGAAACCACAAGUCUUUGGGUUCUGGGGGGAGUAUGGUCGCAAGGCUGAAACUUAAAGGAAUUGACGGAAGGGCACCACCAGGAGUGGAGUAUGCGGC
rnacentral:rRNA from 1 species